UGAGGAAUAUUGCACAAUGGGCGCAAGCCUGAUGCAGCAACGCCGCGUGCGGGACGAAGGCCUUCGGGUCGUAAACCGCUUUUCUGGGGGAAGAGCAAGGACGGUACCUCAGGAAUAAGUCUCGGCUAACUACGUGCCAGCAGCCGCGGUAAAACGUAGGAGGCGAGCGUUAUCCGGAUUUACUGGGCGUAAAGCGCACGCAGGCGGCUCUGUUAGUCGGACGUGAAAGCUCUCGGCUUAACCGGGAGAGGCCGUUCGAUACUGCGCGGCUUGAGGUAGGGAGAGGAAUGCGGAAUUCCCGGUGUAGUGGUGGAAUGCGUAGAUAUCGGGAGGAACACCUGUGGCGAAAGCGGCAUUCUGGCCUUCACCUGACGCUGAGGUGCGAAAGCGUGGGUAGCAAACA
rnacentral:rRNA from 1 species